rnacentral:lncRNA from 1 species
CACUAAUCACCCUGUCAAGCUUCAAUCGGAAUCAGUUGAAUUGGGAGGCUGAGUGCUGAGUGCUCAUGGCUUCCAUUUUACAAGAGAGAAAGUGGAGGAGACCAGCCCCAUGUCAAGUGUCUGAAGGAAAAGACUCUGGGACUAUAUGAGACAGGGCGCUUUGAUGAGGCAGUGGAUAGAUUGCCGGGCCUAAAGACGGGAAGACUCAUCUUGUGACUUCGGCCAAAUCACUUCGCUCUGUUGGUCUGUUUGCUCACCUGUAAAAUGAAAUGGAGAAGGAAAUGGCAAACCACUGUCUGCCAUGAAAAUCCCAAAUUGGGUCACGAAGAGUUCAGCACAAGCAAAAUGACUGAACAAUAACAACUAUAUACCAGGCACGGGGUUAAGUGCUGGGGAUGCAAAGAAAGAUAAAAGACAGUCCCUGUUCUCACGGAGCUCACAAUCUGAUGGGGGAGACAAGAAAAGCACUAAACCUUUUGUCUUCUCUAUUGAAAUCUACUCUCUGUGGGCAGCCUACCUUGUUAAAAUUGUAAUAUUCCACAAUAGUAAACAGAUAUAUUUAUCAAAAUACUCUGGCUGGCAAAUGGUGGG